UCUCUCUCUCUCUCUCUCUCGGCAGCUUCGUCCUCCAUAUCCACCCUCACACCAUCUUGCCCAACACAACACAUAAAACCCAGCCGCCACACCCCGUUCUCAGCCUUCAAAAUUAUCCUCGCCCUUCUCACAAUCACCCAAUUCUCACGGCUUCGCUGCUAGUCAUUGAUGUACGGUUGGGCUCGACUAUGCCAAUGUAAAGGAAGCUUGAGGGUGAGAUUCUUGAGUCGAGUCGUCUGUAAAUCUCUUGGAACCGAGUCCUUCGGCAUUGACAAGUUUCUCAAACUCAGACUGGUGAUUGACUCGGGGGCAAUAGAGGAAGAAGGCAAGGGCCGAGAGUGACAAUUCCUACAGAAGCUGUGAUGCCAGGAGGGUCGGAACGGUGACAUUUGACAGUGGCGGAGGGGAUUGGGGCUGAUCUGGGGUCGACCUAGAUGGCAAUUCACGUAAGAAAGGUUGGUCGGUUGGACACUCGAGACGUUUGGCGGUGGAGGUGAUGGAAUCGGUGGCUACUCAGUCUUACUUUCAUGGUUAAGAAGAGGGUUGAGAGAUGCUGAUGAUGAUGAGGAGCUCUCAAUUUCAUGGUCAAUUUGAAUGAGAGAGUGUUGGUUUUUUGUUUUACUUUUGUUUCAGAAAAGUCCAUUCAUCUUCUUCAUCUUCUUUUGCUACUGGGUUUUUUUGUUGGGUUUGAGAAUUUGUUUUUGUGUUGUUUUGGUUGGAUUAGAAAGACAGAAAUUGGAAUAGGAGAAAGGAGAAAAGGGUGGCUGGGCUUGGAGUUAGUGGUGUACAGAGAGAGAAUGGUGGGUGUGUUGAGAAGUUUUUCGUGCGAGAGGUGGUUGGGCAAGAUGGUGUGUGGGUGGGUAUAGAGGA
rnacentral:lncRNA from 1 species